CUCUCCCAAGCGUCAACAAUAAUCCAUGAUGAUAUCCGAGUCACCAGGCAUUCCUUCUAACUGCUUUUCUCAUCAAGAGGCAGUCAUCUAGGAAGUGUGAAAUAUGGGCUUUGUUUGUGGGCUAAUAUACUUUGAUUUCACCUCCUGAGAAAUUCUUUGUGCGCCACGGGUGGUGCAGAAAAUUCAACAUAGAGUAUAUCAUCUU
rnacentral:lncRNA from 1 species